rnacentral:tRNA from 1 species
GGACGUAUAGCUCAGAUGGUAGAGCUGUCGGCUCAUAACCGAUUGGUCACAGGUUCAAUUCCAUCAACAUCCACCA